AUGGCCAAAUCACAUUGUACACCAGUUCUUGUAUGAUCACCAAAGUUAAGAAAUGUCAAGCUGGGUCAGUACCUAAAUGGGUGACCACUUGGGAAUACCAGGUGCUGUAAG
rnacentral:rRNA from 1 species